UCCGAUGGUUGUGGCAUUUUUUCCUUCCCUUGGUAGGACCACCUAUCCUAUUUUGAUCAUGUUCUGGUCUCCUAUCAUCAGUCUGCUAAUGCUGUGGGGCUCAGGAGCAAAUGCUCAGCGUGUUCUGUCUCAGCCUCAGUUGGCCUCUGUAUCAUUGGGCGGCACUGUGAAAGUCUCUUGUGCCUUGGACAGGGGUGCCAGUAUCAGCGACUACAUAGUCUCCUGGUACCAACGGAAGUCAGGAAGCAGCCCAAGGUAUCUCCUCCAAUAUAAAUCAGACACAGAGAAGGACCAUGGGCCUGGGGUCCCCCUUCGCUUCUCUGCCUCCAAAGACUUACCCAGCAACACUGGCUAUUUAAGCAUUGCAGGAGCCCUAGCAGAAGACGAGGCAGACUAUUACUGUGUCAUUUGGCGCUCCUAUCUCACAGUGACACAGGCAAACAGGGAAGUCAGACAAUAA